UGGCUCCCUGCCUUACAAUCAGACAGGGGGGAGCGAGCGCUGAGAGCACAUUGGCUCUCUGGCCUCACACACCACUGCUGCUGCCUCAGGACUCUGCACUAGGCAUUCUGCCUUAUGCUGAACAAGGCCACAGGAAGAAGAGCAGACGGGGAAUGAAUAGCUGGUGCUGCAACCUUACUGAUUGUGACAUUUGAUUUUGAUGAAGAGGUAAGGGGAAGCAAUGUAUUCUGCUCAACCAAGAAUUAAAACCAGGAAGUACAGGACUAAUCGCUCCAAAACAAAUGGAUUUGUGGUGGAUUAAGUACUGAGGCAGACAGGAAUGAUAUGAUAUCUCCAGCCAUUCUGAAGCUUUGUUGGAACAUACAUAUACACAUAUAUGAACACAUAGGGUAAUCCUGUAUUCCAUGUAAUGUCAUCUGAGGGUCAGAACUCCGAGGUAGAAAAGUAAUUUCUUUCUUAUCAGACACAGUAA